GAACUGGCCAAGAAGUGGACAGCCCAAAAUCAUCCAUAUGUUGACCCAAAUCAGCUUAUUAGCUGAUUAUUUAGCUCACAAAGAGGCCCUUGAAGACAUGUUCAAUUGCAAAAUCACCCUUCUACAAUUGGUGGCUUUAUAGAUUUGCCCCAAGCUUAAAUUAGCAAAGUUGAAACUAUCAACCUUGCCACAUGUGUGGCCGACCAAGGGAGGGCUCUUUGGCUGAUAAUUUUAGCUAUUUUUAGCAGCCCUCAUCAGCUAUAAAAACUCCUUAGGCUGGUCACAUCUCAAGCAUUCACAUCUUUUCUCUUUUCUCUCCACUUUCUCUCUUCUUUUCCAUUCCAAAUUCUCUUGCUCUCUUGUCGAUUUCUCCUCUUGGAAAAGGGGCAUUAAUUAGCCAUUUGGAGCACCAAUUAAGUGUUCAUAGCAGCCUUGGUCGAUGAGGACAACAGAGAAGGAAGAACGGAGCAAACUAGCCAAGCCACGGAAAAAUAUUGGAUUUGAUUCUUAUUCUUUAUCUCUUUAAUUUUUAUUGUUGUUAUGAUGAACAUAUCUAUAGAUAUUUAUGUUGUUGGAAUGGUUAAUUUAAUCAAUUUAGCUUGAAUUUAAUUCGUGUUAAGUUGAUUGCAUUUCGUUUGCUAAAAUUGUUAAAAUUGCGUUUAUGUUGUUAUAGGCCUCAGUAAGAAGCUUGAUUAAGUAAAAUCAUGACUAAGUUAUUCUUGCAUUACAAUUUUGAGGUAGCUAAUGAAUUAAUUAUUUAAAUGGAUUAAAAUUGUAAUUAAUGAACACAGUACUUAAUUAGUGCAUGUUUAAUCAUCUAAGGUAGCUGAGGGUUAAAUUAGUAACGGUAUUUGACGAUACAUUUGCCUUGCAUAACUUGCAAGAUUAUUGUUACUAAACUGUUUUAAGGUAGGGAUACCUUGUUACCUCACGUAGUCUUUUAUGUGCUUAUUAGAUUUAAUUAAUUGUUUGAAUUGACAUAGGGAUACGUACAAGAGAUUAUUAGAUUUAAUAAGUAUGUAUGUGCAAUAACAUAUUUGCCUAUUAAGAUUUGUUUAAUCAGUUGAAUUGACAUAGGGAUAUAUUCAAGAGAUGAAUAGAUUUUGGUAGGUGAGUAUGUUCAUAAGUUAACAAAGUAUCGAGUUGUCAUGAAUUUAUUCGUAACAAUAUAAACAUGAGUUUAAUAAUUCUAAGUUAAGAAAUGUAAUUAAUCUAACACAAUUAUGUCAUCUUGAUUAAAAUCGUAUUUUGAAAUCGUACAUUUGAGAUUUAUUUAUUUAGUUUACUUAGUUUAAAAUCUUAGUUUUUAAUUCAAAUAGAAUAUUUUCUUCAUGAAAGUGUUUUAAAUAGCAUUCAUAAAUAAUUCUCUUCAUAGUUAUUACGAAAGUUCCCUUAUCACGACAUUUCUUACUGCGUUCAAAUAGAAACUUUUUAUAUUGGUCUCAAUAUUCAUACUAGAAUGAUGGUGGAUGCUUCGGCAAAUGGAGCCCUUUUUCUAAGGAUUAUAACGAUGCUUACGAGAUUAUUGAAAGAAUUUCCAACAAUAACUAUCAGUGACCAACCAACCGAGUAGCAAGAGUACAUGAAACGGACACACUGGCUUCUUUGGCAGCCCAAGUAUCCUCUAUGUCUUCUGUGCAUAAGAACAUAACUGUUAAUGAUUUCAAUGGUACUCUUACAAGUCAACAACCAAAGCAAUUCGAGGAUAUUUCUUGUAAAUACUAUGGAGAUGGCCAUUUCUUUAAAAAUUGCCCAAUGAAUCAAGAGUCGAAAUAUUACAUGGGAAAUCAAAAUUGGAAUGUUCCAUAGUCAAAUUCUUACAAAAAUUCAUGGAAAAAUCAUCCAACUUCUCCAUGGAGUAAUUAAUGGGCGGACCAUAGUGACUCUUCUAUGUCAUUUCGACCAAAUUAUCUGCCAAGAUAAUCUCAAAAAGUGCAACAACCCAUACCAACUGAAUCUUUAAGUAAUCUUGAGAAUUUUUUGACGGCGUAAAUAGCGAAGAAUGAUGAACUAAUUCAAAUCCAAGUAGCAACAUUGAAGAAUUUAGGAAACCAAGUGGGGCAGCUAGCUAGUAAGCUCAAAAGUAGACCUCAAGGUGUAACAUCCCAAUUUAGGGCCUAGUCAGAACAGUGGUUUUGAAACCAUAAAUCCAAAGUAGAAGUAAUUAUUUUAUGAUUAUUAUGAGGUAUAGGAUAUGAAUGCAUACUUGUGUGAGAAUUUCAUGAAGAAAUUCUAUGCCUAAGAUACCCAAUUUAUUUUUUAGGGACUAAAUUGAAUAAGUUGCAAAACUUGAGUUCUAGAAGCUCUUAGCAUGGAAUUGAGUUGGAUUAUUAAUUAGAGGCUCUUAAAUAGUAAUUUAACCAAGUUCUAAAAUUUUGGACAAAAAUGGGCAUGCAUGGAUAAAAAUUCAAUGUUUAGUAAAAAGGGCAUUUUGGUCAUUUGGUUAAUUAAAGAAUAAAAAGGGAAAAAUCAAGAAAAAAUGUGGUCCAUCUUCUCUAAGGGUGUCAAAAAUUUGGGAGUCUCCAUAGCUAGGGUUUUCAACAUUUCAAGCUUGAUUGUAAGUGCUCCCUAGCUCCGUUUUUAAUGUUAUUUGCAUUUUUGAGACACUUGAAGCUUAAUCUAUCUAUCUUUACCCAUACUUUGAGCUAGGGUUUAUGUUCAGAAACUUACCCAUAUGCAACAUGCAUGUUCUUUGAUGUUUAAUGGAGGAAUAUGAAAGUUUGAUGUAUGAUAAACAUCUUUUGCUAAGUAGUUUUUCAUGAAAAUACCUAAAAAGGACUUGUUUGUAAAAAGGUGUAAAAUGAGUAGUAGAUAUAUGAAAUAAAAGCAAAUAUGGGUUUCUAUGAGCUAAUAUCUAACUUGGGUAAGCUUGGCUAACCAAGAAAAUGCAUGAAUUUCAUUUUACAAGCCUAGGGACCAAAGUGAAAAAAUGUGUAAAAUUAGGGGUAACAAGGUAAUUUUCCCAUAGAGGAAAUUUUGGGCUGAAAUUUUUGAAUGUGAUAAAUUAAUAAUUUAAAUUUCUUACACAGACUUGAAAAGACCAAUCCCGAAAGUAGACCGUGGAAAACAAAAGGUUUUGGAAUAGUCAGAAUUCAAAUCCGUAACAUCAUCAGGUAAGUUUGUGUAAUAUAAUUGAAUAUGUAAAUAUGUUGAUUUUAACUGUUGUGUCAAAUUGAAUAAUGUAAAAAUCUUGAAUUGUAUGAAAAUGUCCAUAAUCCCAGAAUUUAUUGAAAAGAGGUUGUAAUCCGUUUGAAUUAUGAGUUCUGAUGGGUAGGUUAUCUCUUAUAUGAAAUUGGAUCCUGCAUGUGUUGCAGAAAGGAUUUAGCCCAGACAGGUAAUCCUGAAAUGAGCCUAUUGAACAUAUAUUUCAAUUGGGAUUUAGUCAAGACUGGUAAUCCUAUUUAACUGGAUUUAGCCUGGACUGGUAAUCCAAAUAUGGCUCUAUAGGGAAUUCUUUGUCUCAUAAAGGACUUAGCCUAGACUGGUAAUCCGACAAAGCCCUUAGAGUAUAUGGUACAACUACAAUUUAGCCUGGUCGGGUAAUUCUGCUAUAGGAUAUAUGUGGCUCAAGGGUAUACCAAAAAGGUACUAUUGGAUAUGAAUUGACGGAUGAAAUAUCCAUCGAGAAUUCAGUAAUUCAAUGGAUAAAAUAUAUAUAAAAGACAUGAGAAAUCCUGAAAUGGAAUGUGUGCAUGAUAUGAUGAGCUCAUCCAUACACUUUGGAUUAUUUGUGACUAACUUGAUGAUUGAGUGUAUGUGUUAGGGAAAAUUUAUCUAUAAUUGAUGGAUAGUAUGACUUAUUGAGAUCAUGUGUUUAAAAUGACCGGUAAGUUUAUUUUCCAUCAUACAAACUUACUGAGCAUGUAAUGCUUACCCCGUUUCAUUUUUCCCUGCUUUUUAGUGUUUGCGGACUCGUCAGGGUUGGAGGACAGUUAGAGCUUUGAUCAUGCUAUCAACAAUCUUGUUUUGGGUAUAAAAGAAAUAUUCAUUUUGAUAUAAUGGCAUGUAUAAGGGAACUUAUCUUUUUGUCAUAUGUGUCAUUUAAUUUGGCCAAGUGUAAUGGCUUUUGAUGUUUGAUAAAUUUAUUUUGUAUAUGGCCAUGAGAUGUGGCUCAUAUUUAUUAUUGGGUUGUAACCCUCAUUAAUCAUGUAUGCAUACAAUGUGUUCAUGUUGAUGUGGUUGCUUGUGAAUGAUGGAUGUGAGGUAUGUCAUGUUUAUUUAGUGAAUGAUCCAUGAUCAAUAAGUACAGCCAUAACAAUGUCAUAAAUGUGUAAAGUUUGAAAGAAUGAUAUAAAAACCUAGUGGUUAUGAAUUGGUAUGGACAUUUGAGUAGCUAAAUGUGCUUUGUUGCAUGCUAAGAAAGUGUAAAAGUGAGUGAACCUUUAAGGGUGUCAAAAACGCUCAGAAAAUAGCCUAGAAUUUUUCCACAUGGGCAGACACACAGGCAUGUGUCUAGGCCGUGUGUGACACAUGGUCUGCCCCAUGGGCAUGUUGUUCGGCCGUGUGUCCCCUGUACCUUAGCUAUAUAAGUCAGCAUGCCGGGCUAAAACACGGGCUUGUGUCUUGGCCAUGUGAGAGACACAGCCUACCCACAUGGGCGUGUACUCUGGCCGUGUGAAGUCUGUGCCAUUUUAUGAAAAAUCAUUUAAUUUUUAAUUGACCACACGGUCUGGCCACACGGGCAUGUGAUACAGCUGUGUGACCUUAUUUUGUUGCUGACGUCAUAAACAGAGAGUUACACAGCCCAAGGACACGGGCGUGUCCUCUUCAUCACACGGGCGUGUGACAUUGUUUUGAUGAAAAAUUUCCUAAGUUUUCCCACGAUUCCUACUUAGUCCCGAACCAUCCCCAAUGCGUGUUUUUGGGUCUCGUAGGCCCAUAUAAGGGACAAUAUGUAUAUUUAUGAAUGGUUUUAAAUUGAAUGAAAUUUCAUGGCCCGUUUUUAUAUGAGCGUUAAUGUAAAUGUUCAAUAAUGCCUCGUGCCCUAUCCCAGCCUCAAAUACAGGUAAGGGUGUUACAUUUAGUGGUGUCAGUGCUAUGAUUUAGUUGAUUCUCAGACAACAUAGCAUGAAUCGAGUCUAGCUAAACAUGCCAAUAUACAAGUUAUGAUAGGGUGACAUCUCCUAACCAUUUUAAAUAUAUUUGCAUAUAGUAAAUGUCUUCCAACCAAGCCCGAAAUGAGUUCAAGGAAGUCGAGAGCUAUGCUCAAGCAUCCGUUCAGCGAGCUACGUCCAGUAAUAGUAGAACGCCCGUGUCUAGGGGUCAGGAAGAUGCAAAGACAGUCUUUUUCAAAAUAAUGGAUGAAAGGUUUGGUGAGUACUUGAGAACCAGCCCUUCUAUACCACAACAUCCCUCGUCUCCACACGAUCUGAAGAAGUACAACAAGGUAUUGGCCCGGUAAGGAUUGGUAAAGCUCCAGUAGAUAAACUUAGAAAAUAUGGGGCUGAAGAGUUUAGGGCUACAAUUGACGAUGAUCUGGAACGAGCUGAGUUCCUACUUGAGAAUACCGUAAGAGUUCUUGACAAAUUGCCAUGUAUCCCCAAAGAAUGCUUGAAAUUCACGGUAUCUCUACUGAAAGACACCACAUACAAUUGGUGGAAAACUAUAUCCUUGGUAACACCAAGAGACAAUAUUACAUAGGAGUUCUUCCAAGCGAAAUUUAAUAAGAAGUAUAUCAGUCAAAGGUUCUUGGAUCUGAAGAGAAAGGAAUUUCUAGAGCUUAAGCAAGGGGAAUAGACUAUGUGAGAAUACGAAUGGGAGUUCGUCCGGCUGAGUCACUAUGCCCAAGAGUGGGUUCAGAAUAAACAGAAAAUGUGCAAAUGCUUCGAGGAAGGACUAAACGAGGAUGUUAAAUUACUGAUUGGGAUCCUGGAAAUAAGAGAGUUCGCCAUGUUAGCUGAUAGAGCCAAGAAAGUGAAGAGCUAAGUAAUGAAAAGAAGCAAGAAAAGAGGAAAGCUCAGGUUUUGAAUAAGAGAUUCAUGGGCAAGACAUAUACAUCUCCCACAAAGAAAUCGAGAAGUCAUUAGGAAUGCUCCAAUUCAUCAGUGGGACAUUCGGGUAAAUCAAGAAGCUCUAAGCGCCCUAACCCGCAGUCUUCAUCUCUCAUGGCAACUAGUGUGGGGAGUGUGGGAAACCAAAAAUCACGGUGUGAUAGUUGUAAUAAGUUUCACUUCGGAGAGUGCUAGAUGAGGAGCGGGGCAUGCUACGUGUGUGGUUCUCUUAACCACUUCCUUAAGGAUUGCCCGAAGCGAGUUGACAAAAAUGUUGAGCCAACUCUAAAACCGUGUACUCCUAUCUCUCGAGGUAGGCCUCCAAAAUACCCCAGAAGUGCCAGUGGUGGUCGUAGUGUUCCAAAUGACUCCACUACAAAAUCAGAGACUCGAGCUCCGACAAGAACUUAUGCCAUACGCGCUAAAGAGGAAGCCUCAACCCUUGAUGUCAUUACGAGUACAUUCUCUCUUUACAAUAUCCGUGUAGUUGCUUUGAUUGACCCGGGAUCAACCCAUUCAUAUGUUUGCAUGAAAUUGGUGUCUAGUAAGGAUUUACUUGUAGAGUUUACUGAAUACGUGAUUAAGGUGUCGAACCUGUUAAGCAAACAUGUAUUAGUUGACAAAGUAUGCAGGAAAUGACCUUUUAUGAUUAGAGGUCAUUCUUUUCCUACUGAUUUGAUGUUGUUGCCAUUUGAUGAGUUCGAUGUUAUACUAGGUAUUGAUUGGUUGACACUACAUGACACUAUAAUAAAUUAUAGACAGAAUGUCUUUGAAUUGAAAUGUGAAAAUGGUAAAACUCUUCGGGUUAAACAAGAUGAGUCAGACACAAUACCUGUUGUAAUUUCCUCUAUGUUCACUCAAAGAUGCAUAAGAAAGGGGUGUGAAGCCUUUCUGGCCUAUGUGUUGAAUACUAAGGAAUCUAAAUUGAAAGUUGAAUCAAUACUAGUAGUAUGUGAGUACCCAAAUGUAUUUCCAGAGGAGCUUCCGGAAUUGCCUCCUAUUAGAGAAGUUAAAUUUAGUAUUGACCUAGUGCUAGGAACAACACUUAUUUCGAUUGCUCCGUAUUGGAUGGCUCCGACAGAAUUAAAAGAACUAAAGUUUCAGUUGCAAGAAUUGACAGAUAAAGGUUUUGCAAGACCUAGUUUCUCUCCCUGGGGUGCAUUGGUGUUAUUCAUGAAAAAGAAAGAUGGUUCUAUGAGACUUUGCUUCGAUUACGGUUAGAUCAACAAGGUAACAAUUAAGAAUAAAUACCCAUUGUCGAAGAUUGACGAUUUGUUUUACCAGCUGAAAGAAGCAACUAUAUUUUCAAAGAUAGAUUUCAGGUCCGGCUAUUACCAAUUGCGAGUUAAAGAGUCAGAUGUGCCCAAAAUCACUUUCUGAACAAGGUAUGGUCACUAUGAAUUUCUUGUUAUGCCGUUUGGACUAACUAAUGCUCCCGCAGUAUUUAUGGACUUGAUGAAUCAAAUUUUUUGACCAUACUUGGAUAAAUUUGUUAUUGAUGACAUACUGAUUUAUUCACGUAAUGAAUCCAAGCAUGCUGAACACUUGAGGAUAGUUUUGCAAACUCUGAGAGAUAAAAAAUUGUAUGUAAGUUUAGCAAAAGUGAAUUUUGGCUUAGAGAAGUCAAAUUUUUGGGACACAUUAUUUCGGGUGACGGCAUUAGAGUUGACCCGAAUAAGAUCUUGACUAUCAUUGAAUGGAAACCAUCGAGAAACGUGACAGAAGUUAGAAGCUUUUUAGGCUUAGCUGGCUAUUAUCGGUGAUUUGUUAAAGGGUUUUCCAUGAUCACCACUCUGAUGACAAGGCUGCUCCAAAAAGAUGUUAAGUUUGAGUGGUUAGAAAGGUGACAGUAAUGCUUCAAGAAGCUAAAGAUGUUACUGACCAAAGCACAUGUUUUGCUACAACCCGAGUCAAGUAAAGAAUUUGUGAUUUUUAGUGAUGCGUCCUUGAAUGAUUUAGGAUGCGUACUCAUGCAAGAGGGCAAGGUGGGUGGCCUACGCUUCAAGACAGUUGAAGUUUCACGAGAAGAACUACCGGACACAUGACUUAGGAUUGGCCACUAUUGUAUUUGCAUUAAAUAUUUGGAGACACUAUCUGUAUGGUGAGAAGUGUCGAGUGUUCAUUGAUCAUAAAAGUUUAAAAUACUUGAUGACUCAAAAGGCUUUGAACCUAAGCCAACAUAGAUGGCUUGAAUUACUCAAAGAUUACGAGCUUGUGAUUGAUUACCAUCCGGGUAAGGCAAAUGUGGUCGUCGAUGCUUUGAGUAGAAAAUUAUUAUGUGCUUUGAGGGCCAUGGGUACACGGCUGGCUUUGUCAGAAGAUGGCUCGAUCCUAGCAGAGUUGAGAGCUAGAUCGACUUUUCUUCAACAAAUUUGUGAUGGCUAGAAAAUUGAUAAAGAGUUACAAGCUAAAAGAGUUCGAGGCGAGUCUAGCAGUGAACCAAAUUUUUAGAAUGACUCCGAUGGUUGCUUGAGGUUUCGUGGUAGGAUCUGUGUUCCAAAUGAUACCAAGUUGAUUUGGAAUAUUUUACAUGAGGUGUAUAGCAGUUGUUUUACAGUUCACCCGGGCAGUACAAAUAUGUAUAAUGACUUGAAGAAAAUGUAUUAGUGGAAUGGUAUGAAAAAGGAUAUCUUAGAAUUUGUAUCGAAAUGUCUAGUUUGUCAGCAAGUAAACGCCGAACAUCAAGUACCUUCAGGGUUGCUUUAUCCUAUCAUGGUUCCAGAGUGGAAAUGUGACCGUAUCACUAUGGACUUUGUAAUAGGGUUGCCAUUGACAUAAAAGAAGAAAGAUGUUGUUUGGAUUGUAGUUGACAGAUUGACCAAAUUGACUCAUUUUAUAUCGGAACGAAUUGAUUUCUUACUUGAUAAGUUGGCCAAGUUGUACAUUACUAAAAUUGUGAGACUUCACGGAGUACCCUUGUCGAUUAUUUCGGAUAGAGAUCUGAGGUUCACUUCUCGAUUUUGGAUAAAGCUACUGUAACACCCCGUACCUGAGACCGUUGCCGGAGUCGGACACGAGGGGUUAACGGGCUUAAUCCACUUAUUUUCACAGUCCAUUUGAAAAUUUUCCAGACAAGCUGGUUACUGCAUCACUGUCGCCUUAAAAAUCAUAUCUUGAGUUUCAAAACUCGAAAACCAGUUUUGUAAAUUUUUCCUGAAACUAGACUCAUAUUUUCAUCUACAAAAUUUUUUCUAGAAUUUUUUCUCAAGCCAAUUAGUACAGUUUAUUAGUUAAAGUCUCCCCUGUUUCAGGGUUCGACUAUACUGACCUUUGCGCAUUACGACUUGAAUAUCUCCCUGUACAGGGCUUCAAUACUGAUGAUGUUUGUUUCUAAUGAAACUAGACUCAACAUGGAAUCUAUAAAUAUAAGGCAUGACUUCUAAUUAUCUCUGGUUAAUUUAUAAUGAAUUUCCAAAGUCGGAACAGGGAAUCCAGAAACCGUUCUGGCCCUGUUUCACGAAAACUUUAACAUCUCAUAAUAUACUGUUCAUAUGAUCAUUUCGUUACUUUCCUAUGAAAAUAGAUUCAUCAAGGUUCGAUUAAAUAAUUUAUUCACUAUUUAAUUCCAUUCCUACUAUUUUUAGUGAUUUUUCACAUCCACAUCACUGCUGCUGCCAGCAUCAGCCUUUAGGGUAAACUUUACCUAUUACAUAGUUUCCAUGAUUCAACUAGCCCUUUAGCAUAUAUAGCACAAAAUAUGAUCAUGAUUAACCAUUCCAAUGGCUAAUCGUUCCCAAACAUUUUCAUACCUCUUAAUGAACAUCAUACAAGACGAUUAUAAUAUUAAGCUCAAAGUGUAUAUAAGCCAUUUUCGCAUGGCUAUCCAAAUUUAUACAAAACCAAAGGGUCCAUGACCAACAACAAAAAGGGUAGUCCUAUACAUGCCAUUUCAAAGUUCAACCAAAAGUGUACCAAAAGGGGCUUUGAUAGUGUGGGCGACUUCGACUUCGACACUCCCGAGUCCGUUAGCUGACGAACCAAAAUCUAUAAAACAGAGAUUCAAAGAAACGGAGUAAGCAUUUAAUGCUUAGUAAGUUUUGAGCAAUCGAAUUAGGCUCAACUGAAGUAUAGCAUUCAUAUAACUAAAUGGAUAAUUUCAUAUACACAUAUAUUCUCAAAAAUCAGUCCUACUUCACAUUUCCAACCCUUAUAUUCAUACAUAAGGGAUCAACUUAACCAAAAACUGGAAGCUCCUUAAUUGACUGAGCGAAUGCUAUUUAAGAGGAAUCAAUUAAUCCAAUGCAUGUACAACACAUACCUCGUUGUUGAGAUUUUGCGAGCGUAUUGAUUGAAAUUAUUACAGUAGAUCGUUCAUUCCCAAACUCAAGUAAUCUUCGGGAUUUAGCCGGAUAUAACUACUUGCGCAAGGCCUUCGGGUCUUAGCCCGGAUGUGGUCACUAGCAUAAAUGCCUUCGGGACUUAGCCCGGAUAUAAUCGCUAGCACAAAUGCCUUCGGGUCUUAGCCCGGAUAUAGCAACUCGCACGAAUGCCUUCGGAUCUUAGUCCGGUUAUAGUCACCUAGCACAAAAGCCUUCAGGACUUAGCCCGGAUAUCAUUCGAAUAACCAUGCACAUAUAUCAAUAAAUCAUCACACAUCCAUAUUUCAUUUUCAUUACCAAAGCUCAAACACAGAACACUUAUCACACUUACAAAUUUCGGCUCAAUAGCCACAUACAAAGAGCAUGAUUUUGAUUUACUUAAGACAUGAUCUAAUCGAAUCAUAAUCUAAGCUCCAUUACUCGAAAACUUACCUCGGAUGUUGUCGAACGAUUUCGGCGGCUAUUCGAUCACUUUUUCCUUUCCCUUAUCCAACUUUGGUCUUUUAAGCUCUUGAGCUAAUUCAAACAAAUUUAACUUAUUAAAGUCUCAUUAUGCUAGCUUAUGGCCGAACAUGACAAUGAAUUUGAUGGGUCAUAUGGCCACCUUUAGCUCAAAUACAAAAUGGUCAUACGCAUUUUUAAUCACAUUAAGCAAUUUAAUACAAUUCAUUCGAACAUCAAAAGAGAAGCUCAAGGUACUUAGCCCAUAUAUACAUUAGACAUUAGAGUCACAUAUGUACGAAAUCACGAAUCGAAUUCAACAUAUUAGCUAAUAUUCCCCUUAGCCGAAUUUUCUAAGUCAAGAUAAAGCCAUCAAUAUGCUUACCUAUGGCCGAACAUACACAUCAACUUAUGUACUCAUUCAUGUGGCCGAACAUGCAUGUCUAUGUUGAGGCCGAUUGCAACACUUAAUACAUUCUACAAGUAUGGUCACUUGUAUUGACUAAACACCAUUUUGUUUCAAGUUCAAAACUUGGCCAAUACACAUAUAUACACUAGUAAAUCAAACACUAACAUUUGCACUUCACCUUACUACCAUUUCUCAUCCAAAUAACGUGAACAACAACCAUAUUUCUCUUCUACUUCCUACCAUGGCCGAAUGCAUCACAACACCAUACCAUUUCAAUUUUGGUCAUGGUUAAACAAAGAACUUAAUGUCUCACUCAAAAAUGCUAAAAAAAAGAUUCAAGAAUCAUCAAUCCACCAUCACAUGCAUCAUUACAAAGCUUCACUUUUAGCAUGCAAAUGACAUCAACACAAAUCCACCUUAGCCGAAUAUCAUCUCCAUGACAUAGUAAAGAUUUGAACCAUGGGCUAGUUAGAACUCAAGCUAACUACUAAAAUAUACAUGAAUCUCAUGGAGCAACAUCAAACAUACCUUAGCCUAGUUACAUGCAUGGCCGAACCUCUUCAACCUUUCUUCUUCCUUUCUCCUUAAAGUUUUCGGCCAAAGAUGUUCAAGGAUGAACACUUUUUUUUUCUUUCCUUCAACUCACGGAAAUAGGGGGGAACAAUCACACACAUUCUUUCUUUUUUUUUUCUCAUCCUACUAACACUAAUACUUUAUUGCCCAUGCUCUUUAUUUUAUUAUUCCUUACAUGAAGCAUUAACCCAACAUGUUUAUGACAUGUUUUAGCCAUAACAUUUUGUCCACCCUCAUGCUCAUGGCCGGCCACUACUAAUUAGGGGGGAAAGUUUGACAUGCAAGUCCUCCCUUUUGAUUACAUGCACUAUUAGAUCCUUAUAGAUUAGCCUAUCACAUUUCAAAAGUGUCACACAAGUCCUAUGUACUACAUUCACAUGCAAUUAACUAAAUCGAAGCUUAAAAUUUUCGCACAUUCAUAUUCACAUAUUUUAGACCAUAAAUAUCACAUUCAAAUAAUUUGGUGACUCAGUUUAGCGGUCUCGAAACCGCUCUCCGACUAGGGUCACUUUAGGGCUGUCACAGCUACAAGAAGCUUUGGUUACAAAACUGAAUUUUAGUAUCACUUUCCAUCCACAAAUAGACGGUUAAUCCAAGAGAAUAAUUCAGACCAUGGAAGAUAUGCUUAGAUGUUGUAUUCUUGAACUCGAAGGCGGUUGGGAAAAGUACUUACUGUUGAUAGAAUUCGCCUACAACAACAGUUAUCAAUCAAGUUUGAAAAUGGAACCUUAUGAGGCAUUAUAUGGGCGUAAGUGUCAAACACCCUUAUAUUGGACUAAACUCAAAGAAAAUAAGAUUCAUGGAGUCGACUUAAUUAAUGAGACUGAGGAAAAGGUAAAGAUUAUUCGUGAUAGCUUGAAAGUUGCUUCUUAAAGGCAGAAAUCCUAUGCGGAUUUGAAAUGAAAGGAAAUUGAGUAUCAAGUUGGUGAUAAGGUAUUUUUAAAAUUGUAUCUGUGGAAAAAGGUUCUGGGAUUUGUUAGAAAGGGAAAACUCAGUCCUCGAUAUAUAGGGCCGUAUGAGAUUACUGAAAGGAUAGGAUCGGUAGCGUAAAGGUUGGCCUUGCCAUUAGAAUUGGAAAGGAUUCAUGAUGUAUUCCAUGUAUCUAUGUUGCGUCGUUAUCGAUCUGAUCCCUCACAUGUGAUUUCACCAACAGAGGUUGAGAUUCAUCUGGAUAUGAGCUACGGUGAAGAACCGAUUAAGAUUCUAAGUCGGGAAGUCAAACAGUGAAGAAACAAGAAUAUUGCUCUCGUGAAAGUAUUCUGGCAAAAAAAUGGAGUCAAAAAAGCUACAUAGGAACCUAAUUAGACUAUGAGAAAUCAAUACCCAAACCUUUUCACUAGUAAGAUUUUUGGGGAUGAAAAUCCCAAAAGAGAGGGAGAGUUGUAACAUCUCGAUUUAGGGCCUAGUUGGAACAGUGGUUUUGAGACCAUAAAUCUAAAGUAGAAAUAAUUAUUUUAUGAUUAUUAUAAGGUCUAGGAUAUGAAUGCAUACUUGUGUGAAAAUUUCAUGAAGAAAUUCUAUGCCUAAGAUGCCCAAUUUAUUUUUAGGGACUAAAUUGAAUAAGUUGCAAAACUUGAGUUCUAGAAGCUCUUAGCAUGGAAUUGAGUUGGAUUAUUAAUUAGAGCCCCUUAAGUAGUAAUUUAACCAAGUUCUAAAAUUUUAGAAUGGGCAUGCAUGGAUAAAAAUUCAAAAUUUAGUAAAAAGGACAUUUUUGUCAGUUGGUUAAUUAAAGAAUAAAAAGGGAAAAAUCAAGAAAAAAAAUUUUCCAUCUUCUCUAAGGGUGCCAAAAAUUUUGGAGUCUCCAUAGCUAGGGUUUUUAACAUUUCAAGCUUGAUUGUAAGUGCUCCCUAGCCCCGUUUUUAAUGUUAUUUGCAUUUUUGAGACACUUGAAGCUUAAUCUAUCUAUAUUUACCCAUACUUUGAGCUAGGGUUUAUGUUCAAAAACUUACCCAUAUCUAAUAUGCAUGUUCUUUGAUGUUUAAUGGAGGAAUAUGAAAGUUUGAUGUAUAAUAAACAUCUUUUGCUAAGUAGUUUUUGAUGAAAAUAUCUAAAAAUGACUUGUUUGUAAAAAGGUGUAAAAUGAGUAGUAGAUAUAUGAAAUAAAAGAAAAUGUGGGCUGCUAUGAGCUAGUAUAUGAUUUGGCUAGGCUUGGGUAACAAAUAAAAUACAUGCAUUUAGUGUAAAAUUGUGCAAAAAAUUAAGGGUAACAAGGUAAUUUUGCCAUAAAGUAAAUUUUUGGGCUGAAAUUUAUGCAUGUGAUAAAUUAAUAAUUUAAAUUGCUUAUAUAGACUCGGAAAGACCAAUCCCAGAAGUAGACCGCGGAAAAAAAAGGUUUUAGAAUAGUUGGAAUUCAAAUCCGUAACAUCAUCUAGGUAAGUUCGCGAAAUAAUUGAAUAUGUAAAUAUGUUGAUUUUAAUUGUUGUGUCAAAUUGAAUGAGUAAUGUAAAAAUAUUGAAUUGUAUGAAAAUGUCCAUAAUCCCAAAAUUUAUAAAAAAAAGGGGUUGUAAUCCGUUUGAAUUCUGAGUUCCGAUGGGGGAUUUAGCCCGGACGGGUAAUCCUGAAAUGAGCAUAUCGAACAUAUGUUUCAAUUAGGAGUUAGCCUGGACUGGUUAUCCUAAUUGAAUGGAUUUAGCCUGGACUAGUAAUCCAGAUAUGGCUCUAUAAGGAAUUCUUUGUCUUAUAAAGGAUUUAGCCUAGACUAGUAAUCCGGCAAAGCCCUUAGAGUAUAUGGUACAACUAGAAUUUAGCCUAGACGGGUAAUUCUGUUGUAGGAUAUAUGUGGCUCGAGAGUAUACUAAAAAAGUACUACUGGAUAUGAAUUGACGGUUGAAAUAUCCAUCGGGAAUUCAGUAAUUCAAUGGAUAAAAUAUAUAUAUAAAAAAGACAUGAGAAAACGUGAAAUGGAAUGCGUGCAUGAUAUGAUGAGCUCAUCCAUACACUUUGGAUUAUUUGUGACUAAUUUGAUGAUUGAGUGCAUGUGUUAGGGAAAAUUUAUCUUUAAUUGAUGGAUAGUAUGACUUAUUGAGAUCAUGUGUUUAAAAUGACCAGUAAUUUUAUUUUCCAUUAUACGAACUUACUAAGCAUGUAAUGCUUACCCCGUUUCAUUUUUCCCUGUCUUUUAGUGUUUGUGGACUCGUGAGGGUUAGAUGAUGGUUGGAGCUUUGAUCACACUAUCAACAAUCUCGUUUUGGGUAUAAAAGAAAUAUUCAUUUUGAUAAAAUGGCAUGUAUAGGGUAACUUAUCUUUUUUUCAGAUGUGUCAUUUAAUUUGGCCAAGUGUGAUGGCUUUUGAUGUUUGAUAAAUUCAUUUUGUAUAUGGCCAUGAGAUGUGGCUCAUAUUUAUUAUUGGGUUGUAACCCUUAUUAAUCAUGUAUGCAUACAGUGUGUUCAUGUUGAUGUGGUUGCUUAUGAAUAAUGGAUAUGAGGUAUGACAUGUUUAUUUGGUGAAUGAUCCAUAAUCAAUAAGUAAGGCCAUAACAAUGUCAUAAAUGUGUAAAGUUGGAAAGAAUGAUAUAAAAACCUAGUGAUUAUGAAUUGGUAUGGACAUUUGAGUAGCUAAAUGUGCUUUGUUGCAUGCUAAGAAAGUGUAAAAGUGAGUGAAUCUUUAAGGGUGGCAAAAAGGCAUGGAAAAUAGCCUAGAACUUGUCCACUCGAGUAGACACACGGGCAUGUGUCUAGGUCAUGUGUGACACAUGAUCUACCCCAUGCGCAUGUUGUUCGGCCGUGUGUCCCCUGCACCUUAGCUAUACAAGUCAGAAUGCCCAAUAGUAAACACAAGGCCUAAGACUAUAACACCCCACUCCCGAGCCAUAGCCGGGAUGGGAUACGAGGCGUUACCGCACUUAAUCGCAAGCAUACAAUCAUAUCAAUGUCAUUAAGACUUGAUCAAAUUUAAAACUUUUUUGAACUUUGUUUAAACUUCUUAAUAUGGGCCUACAAGGCCCUAAACAUCCAUUGGAAACCAUUUGGGACCAACCUGGGUUCUUUAACUAACUUUAGAAAAAUAACUCUUGAAACAGGGAACAUGCCCGUGUGAAAGGGCAACACAUUAGCCAUUAUCAAUAACGAACAUUAGCCAACACAUUUGGCCAAAUUAAAAUUGAUACAUUAUCCAAUGCAUUAUACAAAAUGAAGGGAUUCAUCCCAAGCCAACACAUUGGCCAAAUUAAAAUUGACACAAAACUCCUAAGUCUAAGCCCUAUGCCAUAUUCAAAAUAAUAAAACCAACUAUACCAAGUGCUUUGUUUGAUAGUGUGAUCGAUGCCUCCGAUGUCCGAUGAUCCUUGAGCUAAUUAGGCGGCACUAUAAGAAAAUGGAAAGGAGAGGGAGUAAGCAUAAAGCUUAGUAAGUUGGAUGCAAAUAAGUAUAACUAAAAGUUUACCAUUCAUCAUCAUGCUCAUAAUACAAAAGUAGGCAUAAGCACAACUUACUCAUCAGUAUCUAAUAUAAUUCACAUAGCAUAUAUUGAGCUCUCAUCUCAUUCAUUUCAAAUAGGUACCUGUACCACUCACAACAUGGUUAUACUUUUCUCAUUUCACUUAAAUUGUAACUCUUACCGUUGAACCAUUUGGAAUACUAUCAGAUACUCACUAAGCCUCAAACAUAGUGUAUAGUAACGAUGUGAUGUCCUAGACAUGGUCUUACACUGGCUCAUCCAUCAAGUCGAUGCCCUGUCCUAGACAUGGUCUUACACUAACUAUUGAAAUCGAGGCCCAUGCCAUGUCCCAGACAUGGUCUUACAGUAGCUCUCACAUACUUGGUCAACAAACACAUGCAUGCCUAACGGGUUAGACACUUUUAUUACAAAUUCAGUAGGUUUAACUAACAUAUUCAUACUAGGUACCAAUUUCAUGCAAACAUAAGAAUGGGUAGGCCCCGGAUCAAUUAAAGUAACAACAGAAAUAUCAUGAAGAGAAAAAGUACCCGUAAUCACAUCUGGUGAAGAUGCCUCUUUGCGAGCGCGAAUGGAAAAAUUCCUAGCAGGCGCUCGGCCCUCGGACCUCACAGUUGUAUCUCUAGGAGUACCUUUACUGCUACCUGCACUACCCGGGUUAUUCUGUAGUCUAUCCUUCGAAAGAGCACUAUUCACCCUCAUACCUUGCUUUUUCUCUUUUCAAUCUAAUUCUGGGCAGUUCCAGAUGAAGUGGUCUAGUGAUCCACAUUUGAUGCAACCCUCUCAUUCCCUCGGCACUCGCCGAAAUGACGCCUACCACAUUAUGAACACUCUGGCCUAUUUGGUCGAGCACUACCAAUACUUGCGAUAGAAGUGGUUUGAGCUUUAGAAGUCGUGUGCUGCUUGUUCUUGCUCUUGCUCGAGAACCCUACUGACGCGUUUGAACGGGUAAGAAACUAUCUUGAUCUCUUAGAUGAGGUCUGCUGUGAUUUCCCUAUCUGUGUUUUCCUUGAGUCUUGGGACUCGAUGUCAGCUUUGCUCUUCUCUUUGGCCAAUUCUUCGGCUUUACAUGCUUUCUCCACGAGCACCACAAAUUCCCUCAAUUCUAAGAUGUCAACUAAUAGACGGAUAUCUUCGUUCAAACCAUCUUCAAACCUCUUGCACAUGAUAGCUUUUGUAGAUAUGCACUCACGUGCAUAUUUACUGAGUCUCACAAACUCACGCUCGUACUCCGUUACCGUCUGACGACUUUGCUUCAGCUCUAAAAAUUCUUUCCUUUUUUGGUCUAUAAACCUCUAGCUAAUGUACUACUUCCAGAACUCUUCCAGGAAGAAUUCCCAAGUUAUACUCUCCCUCGAUGCAAUGGACACAUGGGUAUUCCACCAUUGGUAGGCCGAGUCUCGUAGGAGUGACAUUGUACACUUCACACACUCCUUAGGCCUGCAUAAUAGCUCAUCAAAUACCCCUAAUGAUAUUUUCUAGCCAAAACUCUACUCUCUACAGGUCAUCAUCAAUAUUCGCCCAGAAUUCCUCGGCCCCUUGUUUACUAAUUUUGUCCACUGGAGGUUUCUCUCUAGUUGUCAUCUUUGUUCCUUGAGGAGCUAUAUGAACGGGUUGAGGAAUUGGGAGAAGUGGGGGAGGUGGAGUAUUCAGAUUCGCACGAAUGAAAUCCGAAUACCACGCAUCCAUCAUGUGAAGGUAAGCUUCUCUAGCACCUCCGCCCUGACUCAUUGUUACGAUCCCACUAUCUACUGGCGCGGACCCUUCAGCGGGAGCCGGCACAUUACUCUCCACAUCAUCUGCCUAGCUACGUCAGGAUCCAUUUACUAUAUAAAUAAAAACACAAUUCAUCUCGUCAAGAGUUGUAACACUAUCAAUAUACAAUUAUGACAUGCAUAGCUAGACUAGUACUCACACUAAGUUAGUCCUAGAACCGACUAAAACAUAGCUCUGAUACCACUAAAUGUAACACCUUACACCCGAGCCCUACGUCGGGACGGGAUAUGAGGGAUUACCACACUUAAUCACAUCCAUACAAUCAUAUUGAUGUCAUUAAGACUCGAUCAAAUUUAAAAAAUUUUCGACCUUUGUUUAAACUCCUUAAUAUGGGCCUACAAGACCCCAAACAUCCAUUGGAAACCAUUUGGGACCAACCUGGGUCCUUUAACUAACUUUAGAAAAAUACCUCUUGAAACAGGCCACACGCCCGUGUGAAAGGGCAACAUGCCCGUAUGAUCAUUAUAAAACGGCCGUACUGAUAGCCCGUAUGACACACACGACCUAAGCAUUUAGGGACACGCCCUUUUCCCAUGCCCAUAUGAAUUAAAUUCUAAAUUCGAACCUACAAGGGUUUUCACACUGCCUGACACACGCCCGUGUCUAUAGCUUGUGUCCCUUCAAGGCCAUGACACGCUCGUGUCCUAGCCCAUGUCUAAAAACCUUGACAUUCUGUUUCUGAUGUCAGCAUCCAAUUUAGGGCACAUGCCCGUGGCCUGAGGCCGUGUCCUCCACACGGUUGAGACAAACAGACGUGUCUCUGUCUGUGUGCUUACUACCAUGCAUAUUGACCAGCAAAUUUUACGUGCAGAGGACACACGGUGAAGCAACACGCCCAUGGGCUAACCAUGUGUCACACACGACUUAGACACACGCCCGUGUGUCUAACUAUGUGGAAAAAAUAACGAUAUUUACCAAUCCUUUUUGCCACCCUUACUUGCACUAACCUACACAACAUCUAACAUGACAAAUCCACACAACAAUACAAGGUCUAAUCAGCCACACAAGGCAUUGUCUCAUUCAUGCAAUUUACUCACCCAUGAAAAUAUCAUCAUUUACAUAUAUCAAUAAUGGACAUUAGCCAUUAUCCAAGGCUUUAUACAAAAUUAAGGGAUUCAUCCCAAGCCAACACAUUUAGCCAAAUUAACAUCGACAAAAAACUCAAAAGUCUAAGCACUAUACAUGCCAUAUUAAAAAUAAUAAAACCAAUUAUCCCAAGUUCUUUACUUUUUAGUGUGAUCGAUGCCUCUAACAUCCGAUGAUCCACGAGCUAAUUAGGCAGCACUAUAAGAAAAUGGAAAGGAGAGGGAGUAAGCAUAAAGCUUAGUAAGUUGCAUGCAAAUAAAUAUAACAACAAAUUUACCAUUCAUCAUCAUGCUCAUAAUACAAAAGUAGGCAUAAACACAACUUACUCAUCACUAUCCAAUACAAUUCACAUAGCAUAUAUUGAGCUCACAUCUCAUACUUUUCAAAUAGGUACCUGUACCAUUCACAACAUGGUUAUACUUUUCUUGUUUAACUUAAACUGUAACUCUCACUGUUGAACCAUUUGGAGUACUUUCGGAUAUUGACUAAGCCUCAAACAUAGUGUAUAAUGCCGAUGCCAUAUCCCAGACAUGGUCUUACACUGGCUCAUCCAUCAAGUAGAUACCAUGUCCCAAACAUGGUCUUACACUAACUAUCGAAAUCGAGGCCAAUGCCUUGUCCCAGAAAUGGUCUUACAUUAGCUCUCACAUAAUCUGUACCGAUGCCAUGUCCCAGAAAUGGUCUUACAAUGGCACCUCUAUACAUGCCGAUGCCAUGUCCCUGACAUGGUCUUACACUGACACAUCUUGUAGCCGAUGCAUGUUCCAAACAUGUCUUACACUGGUUUACAUCUCGAGGCCAUGCAUGUCCCAAACAUGUCUUACACUAGCUCUCAUCUCAAUGCCUAUCCAUGUCCCAGACAUGGUCUUACACUUUCCCUCAUAAUGUGGCCAAUGCACGUCCUAGACAUGUUUUACACUAGUACACAAAUAACCCGAGUAUCAUAGCAUGAAUAUUUGAUUUAUUUCUUAAGGUUCAAACGGGAGUUCUGCUAUCUCAAUAUUCAUCAUAUAUAAUCAUUUCCACAAACAAUCAAUUUAUGCUAUAUCAAUUCAAACACAUAUAAUAACAAUGUAGUUGUAUUAUUUACAUACAACUUACCUCGGAUUACAAAAUGUAGACGACUAGUUCGACUUAGUCCACUUGUUUUGCUUUUCCCUAGUCUAGCCCGGAUUUUGUAAUUCUUGAUCUAAAAUGAUAGAAAUUUAUUCAUUUCAUCAGCAUAUUAAUCUAGACACUCAAAAAUUCAUAAUUGGGCAAAAUGAUCAUUUUGCCCCUAGACUUUCAUAAAAAUGACCAUUUUAUCCUUAGGUCCGAAAAUUGAUUUUUAUCACAUUUUCUCACUAACCAAGCUUAGAUGAAUACAUUUUAUACUAGAAGCAGCCCACAAUUCUCAUUAUUUCACACAUUUAUCACCUAUUUUACAACUUAUGCAAAAUGGUCCUCAGUUAGGGUUUCCAUGAAAACUACUUCACAGAAGUUAUUUAUUACACAACCAUGAUUCUUUUCUUCCAUAAAAUUUCAGAAAAAACAUGAACACUCUCAUGGUAAAACCCUAUACUUUCAACCAUUUUGCAAAAUAGUCCCCUUAUUUGAAACCUCAUGCUACAAGGGUUCUAAAAGUACAAAAAUCAUCAAGAAAAACCAUCAAGAUCACUUACUUGUAGAGACACUAAGUGGAUGAAAUUUCAAGCUUCAAAAACCCCUCUAAUGGCUUCUAUUUUCGGUGGAAAAAUGGAGAAGAAAGAUGACCCAUUUGAUUUUAUUUUAAUAUUCAAUUUGCUAAUGUCAUCAAUUACCAACCCUAGUCAUCUUUUGACUUUUUGACUCCUCAUGUCUCUAUGGCCAGCUAGCUUGUAUUUUAAAGGUAUAAUUAUCCUUUAAAGACCCCCAAUUUAGGCUCUCUAGCUAUUUGACACCCUCAGCUAUCAAAAUAGGACUUUUGCACUUUAUGCGAUUUAGGCCUUUUUCACAAUUAAGCAUGAAAUCGCUAAAAUUAAUUCACCAAAAUUUUCAUACUCUCAUAUCAUGCCCCAAAACAUAAAAUAAUAUUAAAAAUGAUUUUUCGUCCUCAGAUUAGUGGUCCUGAAACCAUUGUUCUGACUGGGCCCAAAAUCAGGCUGUUACAAUUCCCCUUUUGGGAUUUUUGUCUUCGAAAAUCUUACCGGUGAAUAGAUUCGGGUAUUGGUCUCUCAUGGUCUCCUCGUGUUCCCGUGUGGCUUCUUCCACUCCACAUCUAUGCUAUAAUACUUUAACAAGUGCAAUACUCUUAUUCCUCAAUUGUUUUAUUUUUUAAGCCAAAAUCUUAAUCAGUUCUUUGCCAUAAGUCAUGUCCAAGCUAAUCUCAACCUCUGUCGGCGAGAUCACAUGCGAGGGGUCCGAACGGUAAUGAAGUAACAUAGACACAUGGAAUACAUUGUGUAUCUUUUCUAACUCUGAUGGCAAUGCUAAUCAGUAUGCUACCGGUCCAAUUCUCUCAGUCACCUCAUAAGGUCCAAUAAACCGUGGACUUAAUUUGUCUUUCCUUCCGAAUUGGAGAACCUCCUUCCACGGGGAUACUUUCAAAAACACUUUAUCCCCAACUAAAACUCAAUCUCUUUCUGUUUCAAAUUCGCGUAGGAUUUCUAUCUAUCCGAAGCAGCCUUCAAACUGUCGCGAAUCACUUUAACUUUCUUUUUGGUCUUUUUAACUAAGUCAACCCUGUGUAUCUGAUUCUCUCUCAGCUCGAUCCAAUACAAGGGUUUUUGGCACUUACGCCCAUACAAAGCCUCAUAAGGCGCCAUUUUCAGACUUGACUGAUAACUAUUGUUGUAGGCGAAUUCGACUAGCAAAAAAUACUUUUCCCAACUGCCUUGAAACUCGAGAACACAGUACCGCAACAUGUCUUCUAAGUUUUGAAUCACCCUUUUUGACUGACGUGGGUUUGGGGAUGAAAAAAUGUGCUAAAAUUCAGUUUCGUCCCCAAUGCCUCUUGCAACUUCCACUAAAAUCGCAAAGUAAACCUCAGAUCUCUAUCCGAAAUAAUGGACAAGGGCACUUCAUGAAUUCUCACGAUCUCAGAAACAUAUAGAUCAACCAAUUUCUCAAGAGAAUAGUCAGUACGUACUGGUAUAAAAUGUGUCAACUUACUAAGUCUAUCAACAACUACCAAAACUGAAUCCUUUUUCCUUGGUGUCAAAGGCAAACCUGACACAAAAUUCAUGGUUACUCGGUCCCACUUCCACUCGGGAACCAUCAUAGGAUGAAGUAAACCUGAGGGUAUUGGUGUUUGGCCUUCACUUGUUGACAAACUAGACAUUCAGAAACAAACUCAGACCACCAGUACAUUUUCUUCAAGUCUUUAUACAUUUUUACACUAUCCGGAUGGAUAGACAAGCAACUACUAUGUGCCUCUCAUAAAAUCUUCUGAAUAAGCUCAUUAUCCUUGGGUGCACAAACUUUGUCUUGGUACAUCAAGCAUUCGUCAGUACUAAUCUGAAAAUCUGAUUCAACACCCGACUCACACUGAGUUCUUUUGGCUUGGAAUUCACCGUCGUUAUUUUGAGCUUUACAAAUUUCUUGGAGAACUCUCGGUCUAGCCUUUAAUUCAUCUAGAACUGAACCAUCCUCUAACAAGUCCAAUUGGGCAUUCAUUGCUCUCAAAGCAAAAAAUGAUUUUCUACUCAAUGCAUCAACGACCACAUUCGCCUUUCUCGUAUGGUAGUCAAUAAUCAACUCAUAAUCCUUUAUCAACUCUAACCAUCGUCGUUGCCGUAAAUUCAGUUCCCUUUGAGUCAAAAAAUACUUUGGACUCUUACGGUCAGUAAAUACUCGGCAUCUCUCGCCAUACAAAUGGUGCCUCUAAAUUUUCAACGCAAACACAAUUGCAGCCAACUUUAAAUCGUGCAUCGGGUUGUUUCUCUCGUAUGGCUUUAGCUAUUUCGAGGCAUAGGAUAUUACCUUUCCUUCUUGCAUACCAUUCAAGGAGUCGUCGCUAUACACCACGAAUUCUUUGCCUAAUUCUAGUUGUACUAAAACUGGAGCUUCAGUCAACAGAGCCUUUAAUUUCUCGAAACUCUAUUGGCAUUUCUCUGACCGUUUUAACUUGACAUUAUUUUGUAACAACCUUGUCAUCGGAGUGGCUAUCAUAGAGAAUCCAUUCAAAAAUCUUCUGUAGUAUCCAGCCAAACCCAGAAAGCUUCGAACCUCUGUCACAUUCCUCGGCGAUUUCCACUCAACGAUAGUCGAGAUCUUACUCGAGUCAACUCUAAUCUCGUCACCUGACACAAUGUUUCCCAAGAAUCCGACCUCUCGCAGCCAAAAUUUGCUCUUAGUGAACUUGGCGUAUAACUGCUUAUUUCUCAAGGUUUGUAGAACCGUUCUCAAAUGCUCCGUAUGUUCACUCUCAUCACAUGAGUAAAUCAGUAUGUCAUCGAUAAAGAUGACUACAAACUUAUUUAAGUACGGUCGAAAAAUACGGUUCAUUAAGUCCAUAAAAACGUCAGGGCAUUUGUUAAGCCAGAGGGCAUGACAAGGAACUCAUAGUGGCCAUACCUUGUCUGAAAAGUAGUUUUCGGUACAUCUUGCUCCUUAACCCUUAACUGGUAGUAGCCUGACCUUAAGUAUAUCUUAGAAAACAUGGUGGCUCCCUUCAAUUGAUCGAACAGAUCAUCGAUUCUUGGAAAGGGAUACUUGUUCCUCACAGUCACCUUGUUGAGCUGUCUGUAAUUUAUACAUAACCUUAUCGACCCGUCUUUUUUCUUCACAAAAGUACCAGAGCACCCCACAAGGAAAAACUCGGUCUCGCAAAACCCUUGUUAGUUAACUCUUGUAGAAAUAAGUAUAAUAUACUAAGUAAUGGACAACCAAAAAAAGAGAAGGAAUCCUUCCCGAUUUUUUUUCAUAAAAUAGAAUCAAGGCGAUAAACUGAUAAAAUAAUUUUAAACUUUGAUGAAAUACUAAAAUAAAUCGAGUAAGGUUAGACUAGUCUAGAAAAGGUUUCAUUGAUAUCUGGUCGACAGAAAAAAAAUUAAAUAUAUAUUGUAUUGUGUCAUCCAAUUGAGUGAUUCCUUUUUUUCUUCUAACCUUCAAAGUAUCGAUAGAUACUAUCGAAGAGCAGAUGCUAUGAAUCAAUUAAUUGAAAUUGAGUUCAUUUUUCAAAAAAAUAUCAGAAAAAGUGAUCCAUUUGUCAUCAUUUAUACGACCAAAAUAUUAUGAUCAUAAUCAUUAAGAAUUCAACGAGACCCUUCCUCGCGAAUCAGACAAAGAAAGAUUUUUUGAUUUAUUUCAUCUAUUCCAUGACCAGAACAGGAGGGGAUACACGUUACACCACGAUUUUGAAUCAAAAGAGAGAUUUCAAGAAAUGGCAGAUCUAUUCACUCUAUCAAUAACCAAGCCGGAUCUGGUGUAUUAUAAGGGAUUUGCCUUUUCUAUUGAUUCCUACGGAUUGGAUCAAAAAUAAUUCUUGAAUGAGGUAUUCAACUCCAGGGAUGAAUCGAAAAAGAAAUCUUUAUCGGCUCUACCUCCUAUUUUUUAUGAAGAAAAUGAAUCUUUUUAUCGAAGGAUCAGAAAAAAAUGGGUCUGGAUCUCCUGCGGGAAUGAUUUGAUAGAUCCAAAACCAAAAAUAGUGGUAUUUGCUAGCAACAACAUAAUGGAGGCAGUUAAUCAAGAUAGAUUGAUCCGAAAUCUGAUUCAAAUCCAAUAUAGCACCUAUGGGUACAUAAGAAAUAUAUUGAAUCGAUUCAUUAAAAAGAAUCGAUCCGAUCGCAACUUCGAAUAUGGAAUUCAAAGGGAUCACUCUUUCAACUCCGUAGGAGCCAUCCUAUACGGAGCAAUCGAGAUAGGUGCCAUACCGGGGACUAAGUCAAUUCCAAACUCAACUUUCUUAACUGGAGGCAAUCGGGUAAUUCCUCCGGAAACACAUCCGUAAACUCACAUACCAAUGGUACUGAUUCAAUCUUCGACUCAAACAUUUGAGUAUUCAACACAAAAGUGAGAUAAGCCUCACACCCUUUUCUCAAAUAUCUCUCUGCAGUCAUAGAUGAUAUCACUAUAGGUGAGUCAUGAAAUUCAUUUGGUUCAACUCGAAGAACGUUCCCGUCUUCACAUUUCAACUCAAUAGAUUUCCUUCCACAGUCCACUACAACACUAUGAGAAGUUAACCAAUCCAUUCCAAUGAUUACAUCAAAUUCAUCAAAUGGCAACAACAUGAGGCUAGUCGAAAAACUAUGACCCUUAAUUGUCAAGGGACAAUUUCUACAUACUUGGUCAACUAACAUAUGCUUGCCUAACGGUUUAGACAUUUUUACUACAAAUUAAGUAGGUUCAACUAACAUAUUCAUACUGGGUACCAAUUUCAUGUAGACAUAAGGAUAGGUACACCCCAGAUCAAUUAAAGCAACAACAGAAAUAUCAUGAAGAGAAAAAGUACCUGUAAUCACAUCUGGUGAAGAUGCCUCUUUACGAGCGCGAAUGGAAUAAUUCCUUACAGGUGCUCGACCCUCGGACCUCACAGUUGUAUCUCUAGGAGUGCCCUCUACUACUAGCCGCACUACCCAUGUUCUUCUGUUGUCUACCCCUCGAAGGAGCAUUAUUCGCCCUCAUAUCUUGCUUUUUCUUUUUGUCAUCUAAUUCUGGGCAGUUCCAGAUGAAGUGGUCUAGUGAUCAACAUUUGAAGCAACCCUUCUCAUUCCCUCAGCACUCGCUGAAAUGACGCCUACCACAUUGUGAACACUCUGGCCUAUUUGGCUGAGCACUACCAACACUUGCAAUAAAAGUGGUUUGAGCUAUAGACGUUGUGUGCUGUUUAUUCUUGCUCUUGCUCGAGAACCAAACUGACUCAUUUGAUCGGUUAGGAAACUCUCUUGAUCUUCUAGAUGAGGUCUAUUUUAAUUUCCCCAUCUAUCUUUUUCUUGAGUCUCAGGACUCGAUGUUAGCUUUUCUCUUCUCUUUGGCCAAUUCCUCGGCCUUACAUGCUUUCUCCACGAGCACCACAUAUUCCCUCAAUUUUAAGAUGCCAACUAGUAGACGGAUAUCUUCGUUCAAGCCAUCUUCAAACCUCUUGUGCAUGAUAGCUUCUGUAGAUACGCACUCCUUUGUAUAUUUACUAAGUCUCACAAACUCACGCUCGUACUUCGUUAUCGUCCUACGGCCUUGCUUCAACUCUAAAAAUUAUUUCCUUUUCUGGUCUAUAAACCUCUGGCUAAUGUACUUCUUCCGGAACUCUUCCAGGAAGAAUUCCCAAGUUAUCCUCUCCCUCGGUGCAACGGACACAAGUAUAUUCCACCAUUGGUAGGCCGAGUCUCGUAGGAGUGACACUGCACACUUCACACACUCCUCACGCAUGCACAAUAGCUCAUCAAAUAUCCUAAUGGUAUUUUCUAGCCAAAACUCUGCUCUCUCCGGCUCAUCAUCAAUAUUCGCCCGAAAUUCCUCCUCCCCUUAUUUACAGAUUCUAUCCACUGGAGGUUUCUCUCUCGUAGCCAUCUAUGCUCCUUGAGGAGCUAUAUGAACUGGUUUAGGAAUUGGCAGAGGUAAGGGAGGUGGAGUAUUUAGAUUCGCACGAAUGAACUCCGAAUACCACGCGUCCAUCAUGUAGAGGUAGGCUUCUCUAGCUCUUCCACCGUCACUCAUUGUCACGGGCCCACAAUCUACUAGCGUGGUCCCUUCAGCAAGAGCCGGCGCAUUACUCUCCACAUCAUCUGCCAUAGCUACGUCAGGAUUCACUUACUAUAUAAAUAAAAACACAAUUCAUCUUGUCAAGAGUCGUCACACUAUCAAUAUACAGUUAUGGCAUGUAUAGCUAGACUAGUACUCAUACUAGGUUAGUCCUAGAAUAGACUAAACAAUAGCUUUGAUACCAUUAAAUGUAACACCCCACACCAGAGCCCUACGCCGGGACGGGAUAUGAGGCGUUUCCACACUUAAUCACAUGCAUACAAUCAUAUCGAUGUCAUUAAGACUCGGUCAAAUUUAAAACUUUUUUGAACUUUGAGUAAACUCCUUAAUAUGGGCCUACGAGGCCCCAAACAUCCAUUCGAAACCAUUUGGGACCAGCCCAGGUCCUUUAACUAACUUUAGAAAAUUUACUCUUGAAAUAGGGCACACGCUCGUGUGAAAGGGCAACAUGCCCGUGUCGUCAUUAUAACACGACCGUGCUGAUGGCCCGUGUGACACACACGCCCUAACCAUCUAGCGACACACCAUGUCCCAUGCCCAUGUGAAUUAAAUUCUAAAUUCGAACCUACAGGGGAUUUUACACGGCCUGACACACGCCCCGGUCUAUGGCCUGUGUCCUUCACACAGCCAUGACACGUCCGUGUCCUAGCCCAUAUCUAAAAACCUUGACAAUGUGUUUCUGACGUCAGCAUCCAAUUUAGGGCACACGGCCAAGGCACGCCCGUGGCCAGAAGCUGUGUCCUCCACACGACUAAGACACACAGUCGUGUCUCUGCCUGUAUAUUUACUACCAUACAUACUAACUGACAAAUUUUAUGUGCAAGGGACACACGGCCAAGCAACAUGCCCAUAGGAUAACUGUGUGCACACACGGCCUAGGCACAUGCCCAUAUGUCUCUUUGUGGACAAAAUAAGGCUAUUUACCAAGCCUUUUUGCCACCCUUACUUGCACUAACCUACACAACAUCUAAAAUGACAAAUCCACACAACAAUACAAGGUCUAAUCAGCCACACAAGGCAUUAUCUCAUUCAUGCAAUUUAUCCAUCCAUGAAAAUAUCAUCAUUUGCAUAUAUCAAUAAUAAACAUUAGCCAUUAUCCAAGGCUUUAUACAAAAUGAAGGGAUUCAUCCCAAGCCAACACAUUUGGCUAAAUUAGCAUUGACACAAAACUCAAAAGUCUAAGCCCUAUACAUGUCAUAUUCAAAAUAAUAAAACCAAUUAUACCAAGUGCUUUGGUUGAUAGUGUGAUUGAUGCCUCCGACGUCCGAUGAUCCUCGAGCUAAUUAGGCAGCACUAUAAGAAAAUGGAAAUGAGAGGGAGUAAGCACAAAGCUUAGUAAGUUGCAUGCAAAUAAAUAUAACAACAACUUUACCAUUCAUCAUCAUGCUCAUAAUACAAAAGUAGGCAUAAGCACAACUUACUCAUCACUAUCCAAUACAAUUCACAUAGCAUAUAUUGAGCUCGCAUCUCAUACAUUUCAAAUAGGUACCUAUACCACUCACAACAUGGUUAUACUUUUCUCGUUUAAUUUAAACUGUAACUCUCACUAUUGAACCAUUUGGAAUACUAUCGGAUAUUCACUAUGCCUCAAACAUAGGGUAUAAUGUCGAUGCCUUGUCCCAGACAUGGUCUUACGCUAGCUUAUCCAUCAAGUCGAUGCCAUGUCCCAGACAUGGUCUUACACUGACUAUCGAAAUCGAGGCCGACACCUUAUCCCAGACAUGAUCUUACAGUAGCUCUCAUAUAUCCGUGCCAAUGCCAUGUCCCAGACAUGGUCUUAUACUGACACCUCUCGUAGUCGAUGCAUGUCCCAAACAUGUCUUACACUGGCUUACAUCUCGAGGCCGAUGCAUGUCUCAGACAUGUCUUACACUAGCUCUCGUAUUAAUGCUGAUGCCAUGUCCCAGACAUGGUCUUUCAUUGGCUCUCAUAAUAUGGCUGAUGCAUGUUCCAGACAUGUCUUUCACUAGCACACAAAUAACCCGAAUGUCAUGGCAUUAAUAUCCGAUUUAUUUCUUAAGGUUCAAACAAGAUUGCUACUAUCUAAAUAUUCAUUAUAUAUAAUCAUUUCCACAAACAAGCAAUUUAUGCUAUAUCAAUUCAAAAACAUAUAAUAACAAUGUAGUUGUAUUCUUUACAUACAACUUACCUCGGAUUACAAAAUGUAGACGACUAGUUUGGCUUAGUCCACUUGUUUUGCUUUUCCUCGGUCUAGGCCCAGAUUUUGUAAUUCUUGAUCUAAAAUGAUAUAAAUUCAUUCAUUUCAUUAGCAUAUUAAUCUAGACACUCAAAAAUUCAUAAUUGGGCAAAAUAACCAUUUUGCCGCUAGACUUUCACAAAAUGACCAUUUUACCCCUAUGUCCGAAAAUCGAUUUUAUCACAUUUUCUCACUAAACAAGUCUAGCUGAAUACUUUUUAUACUAGAAGCAGCCCACAAUUCUCAUUACUUCACACAUUUAUCACUUAUUUUACAACUUUUGCAAAAUGGUCCUUAGUUAGGGUUCCCAUGAAAACUACUUCACAGAAGUUGUUUAUUUCACAACCAUGAUUCUUUUCUUCCAUAAAAUUUCAGAAAAAACAUGAACACUCUCAUGGUAAAACCCUAUACUUUCAACCAUUUUGCAAAAUAGUCCCCUUAUUUGAAACCUCAUGCUACAAGGGUUCUAAAAGUAUAAAAAUCAUCAAGAAAAACCAUCAAGAUCACUUACUUGUAGAGAGACUAAGUGGAUGAAAUUUUAAGCUUCAAAAACCCCUCUAAUGGAUGCUAUUUUCGGUGGAAAAAUGGAGAAGAAAGAUGACCCCUUUGAUUUUAUUUUAAUAUUCAAUUUACUAAUGUCAUCAAUUACCAACCCUAGUCAUCUUUUGACUUUUUGACUCCUCAUGUCUCUAUGGCCAGUUAGCUUGUCUUUUAAGGGUCUAAUUGUUCUUUAAAGAACCCAAUUCAGGCUCUCUAGCUAUUUGACACCCUUAGCUAUCAAAAUAGGACUUUUGUACUUUAUGCGAUUGAGUCCUUUUUCACAAUUAAGCAUGAAAUCGCUAAAAUUAAUUCACCAAAAUUUUCAUACUCUCAUAUAAUCAUGGAAAAACACAUAAAAUAAUAUUAAAAAUAAUUUCCCUAUCCUCAAAUUAGUGGUCCCAAAAUUGUUGUUCCGAAUGGGCCCAAAAUUGGGCUGUUACAAAGAAGGGAAAUAUUCAACCCUUUUCUGCACAAACCUAUGGCCCUUACCUUGCUCCAACACCACUCCCAGGCACCCCAAAAGUGCAUCUCACUUAACCCCUUAAUGUUGCAGCCCUUAACUCCCUGAAUCACCACCCCAAAUAUCGUCAUUUGAAGUCACCAACUACCGCACCUAAAUAAUCUUUAAAACCGCCACCCUCUUCAAUUCUAAUCCCCACCCUCAGCUACUUACCCACCUUCCCAAAAAUGAAACCACCCUUAACAGAGUUCCUAAGUUAGACACUGAGAGUCCCUUUAUCUAGCACCAUUCCAUGAAGUGAAUAGUUUGGUAUAGUGGCUAUGCUACAACACGUGUAGUUGCAGCAACAAGAUUACUAGAGAUACUAAAAAAUAUAGGAUGACUCAAUUAAAGAUGCAUUUAAAAUAUAUAUUGCAUAACCCAUUUGUUUUUGUGCCUGAAUUCCUAGACUUUAUACUUGAACCAUGGACUCCAAUAUAGAGGAAGGAAAAUGAUGUGUCAGAUUCUGAGAGAUCUAGAAAUAAAUAAAAAGGGGGGAUCUUUACUUUAUUUCAUUUUCUUUCCUAGGUUAUUUAAUGUUUUAGGAUUAGGUUUUAUUAGGAUUUUUUUUAUUUUUCGCAUAAUAAAACAAGAGGUGGAAAUCAUUAAUAAAAAUGAUUAAGUCACAAAAUAUGAAGUGUGGCAAUAGAUAUAUACAUGGAUUGGGUUUAUAGAGAGCUUGGUACUUAAGCAGUCAAAUUGACUCACCUCCUCUUUUCUAGAAUCCUACCUGGUGUAUAGUAUUUAUUCACUUUUAACAAUGAGGACAUUGUUCAACUUAAGUAGGGGGAUCGAAAAAUUGAAAUUAUUUCCACUCAGAAUAAAAUUUUCUUUCAGUUAUGAUUAGGAUAUAUUUUGUUAAAUAAUUUGAAAUUUUGUUAAGUAUGCUAAACUUCAGUAUAAAUAAAAUUCAAUUAUUUCAAUAAAUUGUUAUGUUAGCUUAAUAAUGACAUAAAAGUAUUUUUAAUAAAGCAUGCAAAUCGUACCAUAAAAUUUUUAGUUCCUUAAGAAAGUUAGGCAUGCAUGAAAGUUUAAGUCUCUAGAAUUGACUUAGUAGUUUCUUAAGGAAAAAUCCUAGGAAGCAUGGAAUGUUGAAAAUGAUUUAGGCAACUUUUGAUUGAACCGUUUGAGCCUUUCAAGCUGACCUUAAUGAAAUUUUAUCCCUUGAAACCCAACUUUAAGACUAUAUGGCCUAAUUUUAUUUGAACCCUUGCAAUAUUUAGCCAUCACUUUUCUCUUAAAUAUCUUUAAAUUUAUCCCAAACACUAGACUCAGUACUAUUUAGAACAUUCUUUGAAAAUAAGUUUGAGGGAGUUGAAAAGAAGUAUCAAAUGCUCAAAAAAAUUUUGUAGUACAUACAGUAAAAUGCUCGUGAAAAAAAAGAAAAGAAGAAGAACAAAAUGUACAAAAGAGCAUGUGAAAGCAAAGUAAGUUGGUGUAUUGAAGGUAAUUAUUCUGAAGGUCUGAUUGAAGCUGAGUCUAGGCUUUUUAGCCUAAAUUUAUCUAUCUUUUACCUACCCCUAGCCUAGCCACGUUACAACCUUUUUAAAGACCUAUUGAUUCAAGUUUUCUAUGCUACCUACAUUAGUGGAGAGAAAUUGCUAUGUUCAACAUAUGAAGGCAUAAGUUAAACUUAAUGAUUGCAGCUUAAUCUUGAAUAAGGAAAUAAAAUCAAAUUGGUAAGGGUUAACAUGUCUUUGUUAAAGAAGAAUUUCAUCUAAUUUUGCUAUCAUAAUAGCUGUUGAGAUUAAUUUGAAUGAUAUGUACACUUAAGUAGCAUAACUAUCAAAAUUCUUGUUCUUGAGCAUAAAUAUGCUAAAUUCAUAAUUUCGGGAAGAAUGUUGUUCUGAAGGAAUUUUUCAAAGGUGUUUCUGAGAAAUUCUUUUCAAUUUGUGCAUUACUCGAGACGAGCAAUGAAUUAAGUUUGGGGGUGUGGAAACACAAAAAUAUACACACUUUUUCAUGCCCUUUUUAAUUCAAAUUCAUGCAGUUUCGAUAAAAUUCUUGUCGAAAAAUAUAUAAUUACUAUAAAAUAAUUAAAUUGUACUUAAAUUAUGAAAAUUUUGAAUUUUAAUUAAUUUUAUAAUGAAUUUUGAUUAAUUUUGAUCAUUUUCAACAGAUUUGCACAAAGGGCAAAAAUUGGCUCGCCAGACACUGCUAGAAGCACAAAACCGAGAAACGAUUUUUGAAGCAUUGAGGCGAAAUAAAUUUUCAGCCUAGGAUGGUCCAAAUUAUGUAUAUUAAUUCAUGAUAUAAUUAAUUUUAAUUUAUAUCCAAUUUAAUUUGGAUUAAAUAAAUUACUAUUAAUUAAUUAUGAAAAAGUGGUCUAGUUGAGCUGAACCAAGUGAACCGAACCAACCAAGAAGUGGACAGCCCAAAACCGUCCAUAUGCUAACCCAAAUCAGAUUAUUGGCUGAUUAUUUAGCUUGCAAAGAUGCCCUUGAAGACUUGUUCAAGUUGCAAACAAACCCCUUCACAAUUAGUGGCUUUAUAGAUUUGCCCCAAGCCUAAAUUAGCAAAGUUGAAACUAUCAACCUUGCCACAUGUGUGGCCAGCCGAGGGAGGGCUCUUUGGUAGAUAAUUUUAGCUAUUUGUAGCAGCCCUCUUCAGCUAUAAAAACCUCUUUAGGCUGGUCAUUUGAAACACAUCUCAAGCAUUCACAUCUUUUCUCUCUUCUUUUC
rnacentral:lncRNA from 1 species